AAUGCAACAUUUUCACAAACAGAUGUACAAAAUGACACUGAAGAUUUACUUUAUGCAUCAGACACAGAACAAUCAUUUACAAAGGAUUUUGAAUCCGCUAACUUUACUGAAACAGCAAGUAUGCCAAUCCAACAAGCAAAGCUUGAUUCGAGUUUCAAUUGUAAUCAAGAAACUAAAAAUUUUCGACGUUUUGUUGUUGGAAAGUUGAUAAGUUUGGAAUUAAAAAAUAAUUCUAUUGAAAGACAUCUAAAG